GGGGCUGAGCGUGGAUCCUGCACCGGCGGCCGGGACGCGGGGACUCCCCCUUCGGUGCAGGGAGGCCCAUUCCUCGGGAAAAAGGGGGAGAGAGAGAGAGGCUGAUACUGAAGCCAACCAGCUGCGCUUCUGAGUGGGAAACUCUGGACUGUUCUCAUGGCUUGCUUUUUAUUUCUUUAAUACUUCAUUAUCUCUGAAAAUGAAUCUUUUGUGAAGCUCUUCUCCUAACUCUCCUUAUUCCUCUUUCACGAGGUGGCUGCUGCUGUGCAAGGGAAGGAAUGGCAUGAAGUAAAUGACUCCAGUACAAAGCAAUCUGCUUUGCCCAAAUGCCCAGUGGGCAGCACUGUCACUUUAAUAAUUCCAGGUCAAGGGAUUGCUUUCCUCGCUUUCAAUCCUCUCUUUUAAUACAUGGGAGGAUCAGAGGGACAUUAAAGACCGUAAGGCUGGGUGGCUUGCAGAUAAUAAAAAUGAAAGUGUCUGCCCAGUGACUUCUGUUGGGUAAGAGGGUGAUAUUUGAAGGCUCUUGUCUGGUGAGGAAAAAGGGAUCUUUUCAGUCUGCUGUGUAGUCACCUAAUACAUAGCUAGCAAAAUUAAUUCAAGAAGUGAAAGAGCUUAAAGAGGCGCUUUGGAUUGUUUUUGUCUUCCUCCUUAUUUGGAUUACUUGGGCGUUUUUGUCCUGCAAAUAAUAUGUUUUUGAGCAUGUACAGGUGGAGUAUUGAGACAGCUGCCUAGAGAUGGACUGUGCCUUAAUUGUAUUGCAUAAAAUCUUUUAAUUUUCAAACUUUGCUGCCAGAAGAGGAGUUAUAAUAAGGUUUUAUAUUGCCAAGGAACAUUUGCUCUUGUAUUUUUAUAGAGUCAAAUAUAUUUUAAAGAAAUUGAAAGCAUCUUUUAAAAAAGAAUCAAAAAGCUUCUUUUUCUCCCCCCCUUUUUUUUUCUUAUUUGUGGAGAGCAUCGCAAGUCCAGUCCAAGGGAACAGCAAGUAUUCAUAGAAAUGAAGAUUGAAGCUGCAUUUCCUUACUGAACUGUAAAAGUGUUCUGCAAUAGAUAGUCAGUUCCUGACCUUGCAGAGUGUUCCAGUAGUACUUCGUUAGUACCUGUAAAUAAGUGCUUGCCACCAGAUUCAGAAGUAGGAAGAAGAAUGCCAGUCAAGAAGAAAGGAAAAAAUCACUAGAACCUUCAAGCACUGAAGUCAGAUGGUGAGGGAUCUUGUGGAUGUUGCAGCAGGUUACCAGUGCAAUUAGAUGCCAUCUGAGUGUAAGCCUGUGUCCUUCUGCACAGCAGGGAGGAAAACUGCGAACCUCAUAGGGCUCCUCCAGGCUCUGUGUCUCUUCUGUUUCUCAGAGUUCAACUGACACUCAUAACACAACUCCUGCCCUUCAAAGCAAUCUGACUUGCAGAACAUUUAGCCCUCUGCAUUGUAUCAUCUGCUCAAAUCAAUAUUCUGGAGCAAGAGAUAGGUGAACAACUUCUGCGGUUCCUUGGCAGCUGUGUGGGGCAGAGAGACCUGCAAUAACACAAUUGCAUGGUAACACUGUUCAGUGCUAAGCUACUUGUCCUCCUUACUUCAGAUUUCCUUGGCAUUUGCAUGCCUGGUUUUCCCUCAAUAUACCUGGGCAUGUAACACUGCCUUGUUCUGAGAAAUUUGUACUUGCAUAGCAGUUCUCACAGUCUGUCUGGCCCAUUUCUUGUCUGCUGACAGCAUCAUGGUCUAGAAUGGACCAACACUGCUUCACAAUAGAACUGUUCCUAAAUUGGUGUUCUGCAGGAAAGCAGUUGUGCAGAUUAUUCACCAAGGCUAUGGUUAGUUUAGGGAUGUCAUGCUUUUUACACUUAAUGGAGAGCAAGGGCAACUCAGAAUGCAACCUCAAUUUGAAAUAUCAUUCCUGGAAAGACUCUCCACUUGUCCCAAGAUUAAUCUCCAGAGGCCAUGUGUUGGCCUCCUCUGUGUGCCAAUCUGGUUGCUAAAAGCUGAAACCCCUAGAAACAAGCUUGCCUGGUACUUCCUCCGAUGAUUGUCCCCCUCCUUUUUCUGUCCCCUUGUUUUCCCUAGCAGGACAGAAGAUGGAUUUAUGUGCCAUGCAUAUCCUGAGGAGCUGUUAUUUUUAACCCUUUUGCUUGUUGAGUGCUUGCCACACUUGGUGAUUGUCACAUACGUCACGCCUUAUGCUCCCUCAAGGUUGUAUAACCCAUAUGCCUCAUUUUCUGGAUUGUUGGUUAGUCCUUUUAAAGAGAUGAAGGGCUCAAGAUGCUGGGAGCUUUCUGGUUUUUUACACGUAUUCCCUGUCUGCUUUCCCUUGGUGCAGUCUACUAGGUUAAUAUGUGUCUCAUAUUAAUGUUUAUAUGUAAAUAUUUUAUGAUUAUAAUUUGUCUAGUAGUUCUCAAGUCCUUUGAAUCAUGGGAGUUUACAGCUUGUGUUUUUCUCAGCCAUCUUAGGGUACUGUUUCUUGAAUUUCUUUCUAAAAUUUAACUUUCUUCUUUCUACUCAUUUCCUCUAUGGGUAGUGAUAUUGUGUAUUAGCAGGAUUUAUUCCUUUGUGUUUGAUGGUCUGUGUGAAGAUCAGGGAAGGUAAAUGAGUUAGAUAGGUUUGACUUGGAUCACUCCUGAGGCAGGUUGCCUGGAAAUUUCUUACUGCAUUCCCUCCUGCUGAUCUGUAACAACUCAUUUUAACUUUUUGAGAAUUCCAGACCACAGAAUCAAAUCAAGACAUCUUUAAAUAAUGGAGGCAGGGAACUGUGUUUGCUCCUCGGUCUCUUCUGGUGAUCUGAAUGAAGGUGUGAACUUUCCAAAAUGAAAGUAGUUUUUGAGAUCCUUUUUCUUCUAAAGUUAUCAAAGAUCACUGAGAACACUUCCUUGCUCCCUUUCCUGGUGUUCUGGUUCCAUUUCUCACUUCUACUUUGGCUCCUGUGUUUCUUCUCCACCAUUCUUCAUGCCUUUUCCUACAUUCAAUGCCCUACAUUUUCCCAAUUCUGGUUCUCAAAGACCUGUAAAGUGUCUCCUGAAAUGUGUUGGCAUUUUCUUUUAAAAUUCACCUCUAAAACAGACUUGGCAAGUCAGAAGAUAACUGAAAUCCCUUUUAGGAAAAAAAACAUUAAGAAAUGAAAAAAAGAAAUUGAAAUGAAAACAUCUCUUCAUCUUAUCAAUCCAGUUAGGGUUAGAUCUCAACUAAUGUUAAAAUGUCUCUCGAUAAAUGUUAAAUAUCUCAAUGAAACCUUAUUUUUCAUUGAAGUUAACAUUUUUUCCAUCCUGUUGCACCCCAAAAAUAUUUUCAUUCACAAACUCUGGUGCCAGUGGGAGGAGAAAAAUGUAAAUGUGUUUCUAAACUUAGCAAGAGGCUGUGGUAGACUUGGUUCCCUGAGAGGCAGUGGCUGCCUGAUACUCCCUUGUGCUGGUGCAGGGUGCUGUUAACCAGCUGAGUCUGAUUUCUUCCAUGUGCAAGGCAGAACUUGCUGAGUUUGGAAUUGUAUUUUCAUUUUUUUUCUCUCCAUCUUCUGAGCUACCUUGCUUCAUAGCAGGAGUUGAAUGACAGGAUCAGACUCCCAAGGAAAGCAGCAGCAGCUGUCAGCAGACUGCGGGUGUUCAAAGCACAACAAUUUAAGUGCAAAAUCAGUGACUGGUCCUGGCCAGUUACAUAUAUGGGUCCAUAUAAAAUUCAGCCUAUGACUUUACUGUGGCCAGAGGGAGCUCAAUGGCUUGAAAAUACCCAUACAUGCAUAUAUAUGGCCUUAGCAGCAUCUGCUUGAAUUAUGUGGUGGUUCCAUUAUCUGCUCCUUUGGUUUGAGCCAUCAUCAUUCAACAAACCCUGGACUGAAAAUGGAGCUGCUUGGAGACUGGUGUUUGAAUCACUUUUACUUUCUCAUAUAGUUUCAAUUAAUCCUGUUAGUCAAACCUGUUCCUAAUUAGUUUUUGAAGUUUACAGAUAAACCUAAAUUAUCUUCAGGUAUAGUAUAUUUAGUUCAUUUGAAGGAUAAAUGCUGUGCCUAAACACCUGGGAGAUAUUUAAGAAACUUGUUUCUGAGGUCUGUGCUAUGGUGUGGUGUGUGACCUGCUAUGUGUGGGCAGGGCUGUGUUAUCCUCAGUCCCAUAUGGUGGCAUAAAAACUUUUAAAAUCAACUCACCUGUUCACACCAACACAGCUGCAGAUGCUUCAAUCUACCAGGACUCUACUGUAAGUGCUGCAGUGAAGUAUAGUGUCUCCUUGCCUAUAUGGAGUUUUGAAGUGGUUAUAAAAAUGUGCUUGCAAAACAUGAGAGCAUAGAAAUCAAACCAGCAGAGGAAGGGAAUUCUUUUGAUUCAGGGUACUGGUUAGUAUACUAAGUUGCAUCCAGGUCUUGGAUAUCACCCUGAGAAGUAGAUGGAAUUGAUUUUGACAUCAUUUUAGCAAAGUAGGUGAUAAAAUUAUUGCAGUAUUGAUUUAAGUAUGCAUAAGUUAAGUCUUUCAGAUGUGUGGCUUACAUUUUAAGAGCAAUGCUUUAGGAAGCAAUUUAUUGGUGAGAAUUUAAUUCCUCCUGUUAUAUAGUGCGCAUUACUCUGUAUGUGCUUGGAUGUAUAGCCUCGUUUCUUUUUGGCAGUAUCCCCAUAAAACUUUUUGUCUGUAAGAUAUACUGAAGUUAUGUUUUGUUAAAAUAUAACUUGGGUUUUCUGUACAAUUUUCUAUACCGUUUCUGUAUUUGUUGUACCAGAUAUAUAAACAUUGCCCCCA
rnacentral:lncRNA from 1 species